rnacentral:sRNA from 1 species
UGAGGAAGUAAAAGUCGUAACAAGGUUUCCGUAGGUGAACCUGCGGAAGGAUCAUUAUUGAAAGCUUUGGGGAAGUUCUGUUGCUGGCCUUGUUCAGGCAUGUGCACGUUCUUCUCUGAUCCUAUUCAUCCACCUGUGCACUUUUUGUAGGGGUUUUUUCUUUGUAGGUUGACUUUGUAAUGAAGUUGACUUUUGAAGGAGAGCUUCUAUGUUCUUACAAACUUAUUGUAUGUUUUUGAAUGUUAAUUUAUUGGGACUUAACUGGCCCUCUAAAACUUAUACAACUUUCAGCAACGGAUCUCUUGGCUCUCCCAUCGAUGAAGAACGCAGCGAAAUGCGAUAAGUAAUGUGAAUUGCAGAAUUCAGUGAAUCAUCGAAUCUUUGAACGCACCUUGCGCCCUCUGGUAUUCCGGAGGGCAUGCCUGUUUGAGUGUCAUUAAAUUCUCAACUUCAAUAGUUUUUAUAACUUGUUGAAGCUUGGAUGUGGAGGUUUAUGCUGGUAUUCAUUAUCGGCUCCUCUUAAAUGCAUUAGUGGAAACCUGUUGUUUUGGGCCAACCUUGGUGUGAUAAUUAUCUACGCUUUGGUUCUGGUUCUAAACUAACGCUUUGAGUGACUGCACUUUUGUGCUGCACUUGUCAUAUGUUCUAUCUUCGGAUAGGUGUAUAGCGUUUGGGUAGCUGCAUUAGUUUGCUCUACCUGGUUAUCGGGGACGGCUGCAUUCAUUUGCUCUGUUUGGAUAACAAAAAGGAAUUUCUGCUCUCUAACUGUCUUGUAUUAGAGACACUUAUUGACUAUUUGACCUCAAAUCAGGUAGGACUACCCGCUGAACUUAAGCAUAUCAAUAA